AUACUUAGGGUGCAAGCGUUAAUCGGAAUUACUGGGCGUAAAGCGCUCGUAGGCGGCUUGUAAAGUCGGAUGUGAAAUCCCCGGGCUCAACCUGGGAACUGCAUUCGAUACUGGCAGGCUAGAGUAUAGUAGAGGCAAGUGGAAUUUCGGGUGUAGCGGUGAAAUGCGUAGAUAUCCGAAGGAACAUCAGUGGCGAAGGCGACUUGCUGGACUAAUACUGACGCUGAGGAGCGAAAGCGUGGGGAGCAAACGGGAUUAGAAACCCCGGUAGUCC
rnacentral:rRNA from 1 species